UAGGGAAACAGGGGUGGAUUUCAUGUUGCGCCUUUAUCCCACUUACCAGCGAAUAACUAGCUUAUCAGCCCUUAAGCGCAAAAAGUGGCUCCCACGUCGAAAUUAUUAGCGAAUAAGUCGGCCUUAUCGCGGGGUAAGUUAUGGUCAGGGGGGACCCGCCUUUACGCGGCUAUUAGGCGCAGAAAAAUGGCGACUGUAGUAGCUGUGCUCUCGCUAAACAGGCGAAAUCUUCGUCGAAACAGAAUAUUUAGGGACAACUAUAUCUUUACAAUGAUGUAGAAGUGUACACGAAAUUUGAAUUUCGUGGAGUUGAUAAAAUGUCUAUUGUCUAUGAGGUAGAAGAUGAAUUGGAAAUGUCGAAUCGAGGGAACAAUGUUCCCUCAAGCAGACGAUCGAGUAUGCUUUGCACUUCGCAACGGGAUCAUUUUUACGUGUGUGUGUGUGCGGCGAUUUGGUCGGAGUUUCCGAAGAGAAAUGUCACAUCGUGAGGAGAGUGACCAAACGCUACUACGACAUGCUCGACGAUGGAUCGUCUUUCCCGACUAGCGAGAGGCAGAGAGAAGGGAAAGUUCUGUGCCAGCGGUGGUUUUUCCGAGUGUUGUUGGAUACGUCGACGGGACGCAUAUCCACAUUCAGGCGGCGAAAAUAAUGAGCACCAGUACGUGAAUGGAAAAUAUUUUCAUUCACUGAAUGUUCAGGUUAAUGUUUAUCAACGUGCUUGCAAAGUGGCAUCCAGGGUGUCUGCAGCCUUUGGAAGCAACUGUAGACUAUUGGACAGGGUCAUGCUAGGUGACAGUGGCUGCAUGAUAGGAGAGUGAUUGUUGACACCAUUUCAGCAUCCUGCACCCUUGCAGGAAAGGAAAUACAACACAGCACAUAGCUGUACAUGCAACUGGGUCUGAAGAUGGAACCAGAUCAGGCAUGUGAAGUGACUGUGUUCUCAAUCGGGGAGAGCCAGACGAUGAUGGCAACAAUAAUGAUGUUGGACAUAACAAUGAUUUAAAUAAUGAAAAUCACUACAAUAAAAUCAAUGACACUGUUUCAGAACAUGAUGCUCCACAGAAAGAGCCCAUGUUGCACCAGGCCAAGCUGUCAGGAACCAAUCUGUUUAUAGACUUUUCUUGUAAAUAUGUUAAACCAUAAUUUUAUACAUUUCAGAACUAUUUUGAUAACGAAGUUAGAACAUCAACAAUAGACAUAGUCAACAGUUUAGAUGUAGGCCCAACAUGUGUUACAACAGGUCAAGCUGCUAGUAUCCAGUUUAUAAGUAGAUUUUUCUUGUGAAUACAUCAUAAUUUUAUACUUUUCUGUAGUGUUCACAAUAUCAGAACUAUGUGACUGUAGAAAUAGUUAAAUUUUCAUUCUUAUGAAACUUAGUAUCUGUUCAUUCAUACAGAUCUCUUUAGAAAGUAGCAAAUGCUUUUUAACUAUAAUAAAUGAAAGAUGCAGUUC